ACCUGGUUGGCUCAGUCGGUAGAGCACGCAACUCUUGAUCUUGGGGCUGUGAGUUCGAGCCCCACAUUGGGCG
rnacentral:tRNA from 1 species